rnacentral:rRNA from 1 species
UACGUAGGGACCGAGCGUUGUCCGGAUUCAUUGGGCGUAAAGAGCUCGUAGGCGGCCACUCAAGUCGAAUGUGAAAACCAGAGGCUCAACCUCUGGCCUGCAUCCGAUACUGCCCGACUAGAGGUAGGUAGGGGAGAUCGGAAUUCCUGGUGUAGCGGUGAAAUGCGCAGAUAUCAGGAGGAACACCGGUGGCGAAGGCGGAUCUCUGGGCCUUACCUGACGCUGAGGCGCGAAAGCUAGGGGAGCAAACAGG